AUGUUUUUGCUAUCUUUGCUGCUGCUGUUGGCAGCUGGAUCAUGUGUGAAGUGUGAACAGCUGACACAGCCGGCCUCUGUGACUGUGCAGCCAGGGCAACGUCUGACCCUCACCUGUCAGGUUUCUUAUUCUCUUGGCAGCAGGCCAACAGCUUGGAUCAGACAGGCUGCAGGGAAAGCACUGGAGUGGAUUGGAAGGGCGGGUGAUGGAUGGAGCACAUACUACAAAGAUUCACUAAAGAACAAGUUCAGUAUCAGCUUUGACUCUUCCAGCAAAACAGUGACUCUAAACGGACAGAAUGUGCAGCCUGAGGACACUGCUGUGUAUUACUGUGCCAGAGAGCCACAAUAA